AUUGAACGCUGGCGGCAUGCCUUACACAUGCAAGUCGAACGGCAGCAUGAUCUAGCUUGCUAGAUUGAUGGCGAGUGGCGCACGGGUGAGUAAUACAUCGGAACGUGCCCUGUAGUGGGGGAUAACUAGUCGAAAGAUUAGCUAAUACCGCAUACGACCUGAGGGUGAAAGUGGGGGACCGCAAGGCCUCAUGCUAUAGGAGCGGCCGAUGUCUGAUUAGCUAGUUGGUGAGGUAAAGGCUCACCAAGGCGACGAUCAGUAGCUGGUCUGAGAGGACGAUCAGCCACACUGGGACUGAGACACGGCCCAGACUCCUACGGGAGGCAGCAGUGGGGAAUUUUGGACAAUGGGCGAAAGCCUGAUCCAGCAACGCCGCGUGUGUGAAGAAGGCCUUCGGGUUGUAAAGCACUUUUGUCCGGAAAGAAAUGGCUCUGGUUAAUACCUGGGGUCGAUGACGGUACCGGAAGAAUAAGGACCGGCUAACUACGUG
rnacentral:rRNA from 1 species